GACAUACUUCCUCCGUCCGGAAAUAACUUGUCAUCAAAAUGGAUAGAAAGAGAUGUAUCUAAAACUAAAAUAUAUUUAAAUACAUCCCUUUUAUUCAUUUUGAUGACAAGUAUUUCCGAAUGGAGGAAGUACUAU
rfam:Triticum aestivum genome assembly, contig: Triticum_aestivum_CS42_TGACv1_scaffold_129457_2BL